rnacentral:tRNA from 1 species
AUUUAUAUAGUUUAAAAAAACAUUACAUUUUCAAUGUAAAAUUAUUAUAUAAAAUAAUUAUAAACU